AUGGAGCAGGCUAUGCUGGCUAGGGUUUUGGCCGUUACUAGCGUUGGUUUGUCGUGGGCAGUAGUGUGGAGCCUCUUGUCGCAACAGCACAGGCCCUUCUCCACGCCCGCCAUCCUCAGGACCUUGGACGCCGCAGCCCCCGAUCCCGUCAUCGGCCGCGACGACAACAUCGACCGCAUCAUCUGCAUCCUCUGCCGCUGCACCAAGAACUGCGCCGCCCUUGUCGGCCCUGCCGGCGUUGGCAAGACGGCCAUCGUCGAGGGCCUCGCUCGGCGCAUUGCUGCUGGGACGGUCCCCGAAGCCCUUGCUGGGGCCCGCGUGGCGGAGCUCGACGCCGAGGAUUCUGCCGGCAAGCUCAUCCUCUUCAUCGACGAGAUGCACAUGAUUGUCGGUGCCGGCGAUCAUCGUGGCGGCACCGGCGACGCCGCCAACAUCCUCAAGCCCGCGUUGGCCCGUGGCCGCAUCCGUUGCAUAGGCGCCACCACAACCGAAGAGUACCGCAAAUACAUCCAGAAGGAUGCCGCGCUCGAGCGGCGCUUCCAAAGGGUUGACGUCGACGAGCCAACCCUGCAGGCGACCGUUGUCAUCCUGCAGGGGCUGAAGCAGCGCUACCAAGACUACCAUGGACUGAUAAUUCGCGACGACGCUCUGGUCACUGCUGCGCACCUCGCCGGCCGUUAUAUUACUGGUCGCCAGUUUCCUGAUAAAGCAAUUGAUCUGAUGGACGAGGCAUGCACUUCUGUGAAGUUGCAUCAACCAAAAAAGGUUAAAAACAAGAAAACUAGCACUGUAAAUGCAGUGGAGGAGCUAACCGUUGGUCCAUGCCAUAUUGCACAGGUUGUGAGCCGAUGGACUAAAAUUCCGAUCACUACACUUGGCCGAGAGGAAGAAAAGUUUAGCCACCUAGUAGACAGAUUGCAUGAGAGAGUCGUUGGACAGCAUGAAGCGGUUAAUUUGGUUGCACAAGAAGUGCUGCGUUCUAGGGUCAGCUUUGAUCAAUCUAGCCAACCAAUCGGUUCUUUUCUAUUUUUGGGGCCGACUGGCGUUGGGAAGACAGAGCUUGCGAAAGCACUUGCCGAGAAGCUGUUUGACAACAAGAAGACGUUACUCCGCUUUGACAUGUCUGAAUUUGCUGACAGUGGAUCUGUGGCGCGUCUCAUUGGAGGACCUCGAAGCUAUGAAGAAGAUGGACAGCUUACUGAUAAAGUAAGGAGCCAACCAUAUAGCGUUAUUCUUUUUGACGAGGCGGAUAAGGCGCAUCCCUCGAUAUUCAAGGUUCUCAUUCAACUCCUCGAUGACGGCGUGUUGAUUGAUGGAAAAGGACGGAGUGUAUAUUUCAAGAAUACUAUUAUCAUCAUGAGCUCAAAUCUAGGAGCAGAGAACUUGUCAGCUGGAAUGGCCGCAGAAAACAUGGAAACUGCACGGGAUCUUCUUAUGGAAAAGGUUGAGAAACGGUUCAAGCCUGAAUUUAUCAACAAACUGAGUGAGACUGUGAUAUUUGAGCCGCUUUCACAUGACGAACUGAGGGAGAUUGUGAAAAUCCAGAUGAAGAGUGUUGUUGCUAUGGCAGCUAACAAGGGCAUCUCUUUGUUUGCAUCAGAUGCUGCCUUGGACGUCAUUUGGUCAGAGUCGCACGACACGGUGUAUGGUGCAAGGCCUAUUAAGAGGUGGAUGAAGAAGAAUGUGACGAGAGUUCUCGUGGACAUGAUUGUCAGUGGAGAAGCAUGCCAAGGCUCGACCGUCUUCAUAGAUGCCGCCGAUGAUAGGAAGGGGCUGAAAUACCACGUACUGAAGUAG
rnacentral:rRNA from 1 species